rnacentral:lncRNA from 1 species
GAGGGGAGGAGUCCAUCAGGAUGGCUUUAUGGGUCUAGUUCUCCCCACGAGGGAAGGCCUAAGGCUUUGCAGGCUCUAGGAUCCUUGUAGGUGGUCUGGGGGCUUGGGCGUCCAUCUUCUGGAAACAGGGGAGGCCUAGCAAGAGUUGUGCUGUAUCAGCCCUUGCGGGGAAGUUAUGGAUUUGCCACUGCUGUUCCUGUCAGUGGCCUCUUCUGGGUUCCAGGGAAGGAUGGAUUAGGAGAAGGACCCUGGUAGCUCACUAAGAGCUAGAACUUUUGCUUGGUACCUGAAGGUUUUAUUUGGGAUCAGCCUGGAGGCCUGAGCAAUCUUCCGUUGUCACAGCUGUCCCUUGGAGGCUGACUUCUGCCUGGGUGUUUGAGAGCCUUUACCUACCAUUCCUGUGGAUCACAGCACC